GUCUCUGGUUCAAUGGGCUGCUCGAAGCCAGGACUGGGUAAUUCUUUCCAGACGUCUUGACUUCUCCUUCCCCGCCGUUGUUGCCCUUCUGCCUCCUCCAACUUAAGGGGGUCUUAACAAGUGAGCUGGAUCUUCUGAGGGGUGGACUUCUUUGGAACUCGACAGGACCUUGAAGACUGGGUUCUUAGUCCUUAUCACAUAUAUGGGCUAUAAUGAAUAAGUCUAAACAGAAAAGUCGAAUAAACUGGAAAUGAUGCUUUCAUCACGUCGCACAAGAAAAACACAUUUGUUGUUUCUCGCCUCUUGUAAUUCAUGACCCAUAAGACAAAAGUAAAAUGUUCUCUGACUGCAAAUGGAUGUAAAAACUGAUUAUACAGCUACACAUUUCUGUCAUCCUCCCAUCUCUACCCCAAAGAAAGAGGAGCUGUUUGGAUCAGAAGAUGACAUCCUUUCACCCAUCCCUUUCAGGUUUUGACAUCCUAAAAUGUACCUUAUGGAACCCAUACCUGUUAUGUUUUCACCUGUACAAGGCAACAGAGAAAACAUGGUAGUUUUUACUUGAGUAGAUGUGACUUAGCAAUAUGUUGUUGCUGACCUCCAUCCCACAGCACAAAACAUAUGUUUAUAUGUCUGACAGACAAAGUAUCCAGAACAAGGAUUUAGUACCUUCAUAAUCCUCUGUAUAUGUGGUUCUAGAACUUUUGGUAAAGAAACUCUUUAUACUCUUAUUAAUUAUUGAGAACCUCAAAAAAAGUUUAUAUGUUAUAUGUAUCAAUAUUUACCACAUUAGACAUUAAAGCUGACUUAAAAAGUUAAAAUACUUAAGUCAUUUGAAGUAAUAAUAAAUGCAGUUACAUACCAACUUAAUAACAUUUUGCGAAAAUAGCUAUUUUUCAAAACCUAAAGUGAGAAAAGUGGCAGUUUUCCAUUUUUGCAAAUCUCUUUGCUGUCUAGCUGAUAGAAGACAGCUGGAUUCUCCUAUUUGCUUUUGCAUUCAAUUGUUGUUUUGAUUGAAGUAUAUGAAAAAAAAUCUGGUGUCAUACACAUAUAUAAUUGGGAAAUGGAAGAGUAUUUACACAGGCUUUUUUAGAUAUUCUUCCUUUAUACUACAUCAAAACUUGAUAAGUUGCAAUGUUGUGAAUUGGCCCAGGGCUUGGCCCUCUGAAGAUUUGCUGAAAAUCACUGACAUGAAGUAGAUUAAUAGGAUAAAAGGCAUAUACAUUUAUUUAAUGUGUAUACACAGCGGCCUUUAGAAUGAAGACCCAAAGAUACAGAAGAAAUUGUCUGUUUUUAUGCUUAAGUUUAACAAAGAAUGGGCAGCCGUGUAGAGAUAGGAUAGGACAAAAAGGGCAUAAUCUAAUGCUAGCUGACUGAGUGAGGAAGCCCAGCAAGGCCUGUCAGUGUCUCCUCAGUAUGAGUGAAUUUUGUGUACUCUGAUAAUACAUUAAAAUCUGU
rnacentral:lncRNA from 1 species